GGGUCAGUAGGUUGGUCGUGCCACCGGUACGUACUGGUCUCACUGAUUCCUCCUUCCUGAAGAGCCGUAAUGCCAUUAAUUUGGUGCUGCGGGGAAACAGGACUGUUACUUUGAAAAAAUUAGAGUGUUUAAGGCAAGCUAACGCUUGAAUACAUUAGCAUGGAAUAAUGAAAUAGGACGAUCGAUCCUAUUUUGUUGGUUUCUAGGAUUGACGUA
rnacentral:rRNA from 1 species